rnacentral:rRNA from 1 species
GAUGAACGCUGGCGGCGUGCCUAAUACAUGCAAGUCGAACGAAACUUCUUUAUCACCGAGUGCUUGCACUCACCGAUAAAGAGUUGAGUGGCGAACGGGUGAGUUACACGUGGGCAACCUGCCCAAAAGAGGGGGAUAACACUUGGAAACAGGUGCUAAUACCGCAUAACCAUAGUUACCGCAUGGUAACUAUGUAAAAGGUGGCUAUACUACCGCUUUUGGAUGGGCCCGCGGCGCAUUAGCUAGUUGGUAGGGUAAAGGCUUACCAAGGCAAUGAUGCGUAGCCGAAUUGAGAGGUUGAUCGGCCACAUUGGGACUGAGACACGGCCCAAACUCCUACGGGAGGCAGCAGUAGGGAAUCUUCCACAAUGGGCGAAAGCCUGAUGGAGCAACGCCGCGUGGGUGAAGAAGGUCUUCGGAUCGUAAAACCCUGUUGUUAGAGAAGAAAGUGCGUGAGAGUAACUGUUCACGUUUCGACGGUAUCUAACCAGAAAGCCACUGCUAACUACGUG